GGAGAAGACCAUAGCUCAGUGGCAGAGCAUCUGCCUUGCAUGUAGAAUGUCUUGGGUUCAGUUCCUGGCAUCUCCA